GAUGAAGAACGCAGCGAAAUGCGAUACGUAAUGUGAAUUGCAGAAUUCAGUGAAUCAUCGAAUCUUUGAACGCAUAUUGCGCUCUCUGGUAUUCCGGAGAGCAUGCUUGUUUGAGUAUCAGUAAACACCUCAACUUCCAUAUCUUUUUAGAAAUGGGAGUUGGACUUGAGUGAUCCCAACGCUUUUCCUCACCGAAAAGUGGCGGGUUACUUGAAAUGCAGGUGCAGCUGGACUUUUCUCUGAGCUAUAAGCAUAUCUAUUUAGUCUGCCUAAAAAACAGAUUAUUACCUUUGCUGCAGCUAACAUAAAGGAGAUUAGUUCUUGUGCUGACUGAUGCAGGAUUCACAAAGACGGCUUCGGCCGACUUUGUAAACUCGAUCUCAAAUCAAGUAAGACUACCCGCUGAACUUAAGCAUAUCAAUAAGCGGAGGA
rnacentral:misc_RNA from 1 species